rnacentral:rRNA from 1 species
UGGGGAAUAUUGCACAAUGGGCGCAAGCCUGAUGCAGCCAUGCCGCGUGUGUGAAGAAGGCCUUCGGGUUGUAAAGCACUUUCAGCGAGGAGGAAGGUGGUGAACUUAAUACGUUCAUCAAUUGACGUUACUCGCAGAAGAAGCACCGGCUAACUCCGUGCCAGCAGCAGCGGUAAUACGGAGGGUGCAAGCGUUAAUCGGAAUUACUGGGCGUAAAGCGCACGCAGGCGGUUUGUUAAGUCAGAUGUGAAAUCCCCGGGCUCAACCUGGGAACUGCAUUUGAAAACUGGCAAGCUAGAGUCUCGUAGAGGGGGGUAGAAUUCCAGGUGUAGCGGUGAAAUGCGUAGAGAUCUGGAGGAAUACCGGUGGCGAAGGCGGCCCCCCUGGACGAAGACUGACGCUCAGGUGCGAAAGCGUGGGGAGCAAACAGGAUUAGAUACCCUGGUAGUCCACGCUGUAAAACGAUGUCGAUUUU